UACGUAGGGUGCGAGCGUUGUCCGGAAUUAUUGGGCGUAAAGAGCUCGUAGGCGGUCUGUCGCGUCGAUCGUGAAAACUUGGGGCUUAACCCUGAGCUUGCGGUCGAUACGGGCAUGACUGGAGUUCGGCAGGGGGAGACUGGAAUUCCUGGUGUAGCGGUGAAAUGCGCAGAUAUCAGGAGGAACACCAGUGGCGAAGGCGACUUCCUGGCCUGUUCUUGACGCUGAGGCGCGAAAGCUAGGGUAGCAAAACGGGG
rnacentral:rRNA from 1 species